rnacentral:tRNA from 1 species
GUCUCCGUAGCUCAGCUGGAUAGAGCGUCCGCCUCCUAAGCGGAAGGCCAGGCGUUCAAAUCGCCUCGGGGACG